UUUUCUAGAGUAUUACUUGUGGUUUGCAAUUGUAUUAAGUAACUUUUUCUUAACACUCACCACAUACACACACACACACUCACACUCACAUUCACAUUCACAUUCACACACUCUCACUCUCACACUCACACUCACACUCACACUCACACUCACACUCACACUCACUCUCACACUCAGACACACACAUAUACACUAACACACACACUCACACUCACACGAACACACACUCACACUCACACGAACACUCACACUCACACACACAUACUCAUACACUCACACACGCUCACUCUCACACAUUCACGCUCAUGCUCACAUUCACACUCAGAUAUAUAGUACACUUAUACGCAUGUUGUGUAUGGACUGAUGUGGGUAUAUAUACUAUGAUGUGUUUAUGCAUGUAUGUAUACAGUUGUUUGCUUUCAGUUAUAUACAAUUAUCAAUGUAUGUAUAUAAUGAUACGUGCACGCACAUGCACCGUUACGCAUUGAUAAGUGCGUAUGUACUGUAUAUGUUUACAUUAAUACAUGCAUACUAUAUACAGAUAUAUAUGACCAUAUAGACAUUUAUUAGCAGUUUACAUAUAUAUAUAUACAUAAUGUGCAUAUAUACGAUAUGCAUAUAGUGAUAUGUUUUUUCGUGUAUGUAUAAACUUCCUAUCAGUUAUAUAUACAUUGAUAUGCGCCUGCACAUGCACCAUUGCGCAUUGAUAGGGCAUACGUACAUUUCUAUAUUCACUUAUAUGUAUGACUUUAUGGACACUUCUUAUCAGUUUAUACAGUUAUUGGUGUUUAUGUACACUGAUAUGUGUAUACUCACACUCAUGUGUAUAUCUGUAUUGGGUUUAUAUAUACACUAAUAUAUAAGACUAUAUGUGUACUUAUUAUCAAUGAUAUAUAUAAUUAUUAGCUCAAUUUGUGUACGUAUUGAUGUAUAUCAAUAGAUACCAUUCUUUUCAGAGUAUAUAUAUAUACUGAUGUAUAUAACCAUAUAAUACAUUAGUUAUAAGCUAUAUAUACAAUUAUUAGAAUGUAAAAAUACAUUGAUAUGUGUGUGUGUGAUGUCUACAUGUAUAUGAUGUGUAUAUACGGAUUUGUGUGUAUGUGUAAAGUGCAUAACUAUAUAUAUACAAUACAUUAAUAUAUACGUUGAUGUAUAUGACCAUAUAUACACUUAUUAUUACUAUAUACCUUUAUUAACGUAUAUGUACACAGAUUUAUAUACUACACACAAUCACAGUCACACUCACUCUCACCCUCACCUUUACACUCACACUCACACUCACACUCACACUCACACUCACACUCACACUCACACUCCCUCACUCAUACACACAUACAAUCACACGCUCACACUCACACUCGCACUCGCACUCUCAAUCUCACUCUCACUCUCACUCUCACUCUCACUCUCACUCUCACUCGCACUGACACUGACACUGACACUUAUAAACACUCACACUCACAAAUAUAUAUUCUAUCGCUUGUAAUCAGAUAUACAAUUGCGAAAUUCCUUAUUACUUUGUAUAAAAUUAGGCAUAAGAAUGGGUUUCUUCUCUUGAUGAAUUGGGUAUGUUGAAUACCCUAUUGUGAUAGUCCAUGUAAAUUUUUUAUCUUAUUUGUACUUGUUUUUUAUUAUUAUUGAUGAGCUUCAUCUUCAUUGAGUUUUCUUGUAAAUCAACAAGCACGAAAGCAACUUAUCAUAGAGGCGGAUCUCUUUACGUUUUUCGAUAUUUGAGAUCUUGAUAUUGCAAGCUUGAUUUGCUUGAUGGUUCUUUCUUCUCUAUUAUAGUAAUGCUCUUGCUUCUUUCAUGAAAAUAUAGUGUGAAUUUUCUAGAGCUUUACUUGUGGCUUGCAAUUUUAUUAAGUAACUUUUUCUUAACACACACACACUCUUGCUUCUUUCAUGCAAAUAUGGAGUUAAUUUUUCGGAGCUUUACUUGUGUUUUUGCAAUUUUAUUAAGGAACUUUUUCUUUACACACACAUGCACCACACACACGCACACUCACACUCACUCUCACACUCACACUCACACUAAUGUAUAGGAAUGGGUUUAUAUAUAUACACUAAUGUAUAAGGCCAUGUAUAUACUUAUUAUCAGUGAUAUAUACAGUUAUCAGCUCUAUAUGUUUAUGUAUUGAUGUAUAUAAGCAUAGAAUACAUUAGUUAUCGGUUAUAUGUACAAUUACUAGUGUGUGAAAAAUACAUUGAUGUGUGUGAUGUCUGUGUAUGUGUAAAGUACAUAACUGUAUAUAUACAGUGUAUUAAUAUUUACUUUUAUGAAAAUACUAUUAAUGGAACAAAUUAAAGCUCAAAGCAUAAUUUUUUACUGAUAAAUAAGAAGCAGAGAGUGUGACUACAGGACCAAGUAAUCAAUAUUUUAUUGUUGAUUGUGUAAACUGUAAACUUACAGGAGCAAGUAGUUGUACAUAAAGGAUUAGUUCCCCAAACUUAAUCCUUCAGCUCUGUUUCCUCAAGAAAAUGAAAAGCCCUCUUCAAACUAUCCCAAAUCAGAGAGAAAAACCCUUUUCAAACUAUCCCAAAUCAGCUUUUCAUCUUCCUAAAUCAGCAUCCCAUCUUCCUUUUCUCUCUCUAAAAAUCAGUUAAGGCCUCUUCCAUUAGAGUUCUUUCUUUUCUCUCUCUAAAAAUCACUUAGGGCGGCCCCUUCCAUUAGGGUUUGUGAAAACUAUUUUCUUCUUCUUUCUUCUUGCUAUAAACCCUACUGGCUAUGAGCCGAGCUAUAUUUUCUUCUCUUCCUUUCCUUCGUCGUUCUUCUUCUUCUCUUUACACAGUAAACAUAGAUGUAAAUCCCAAAUUUAUAUGAACUUCUUCCAACUAAGGAAAUUUAUAAAACUUUAACCAUAGUUAUGGAGUGACCAUUGACACCAUACCAUACUUAAAUAACUGUCGUGACAAAACAAAAAUCAUGUGUUUACUUUUUGGUAACUGCUAAGUAGGAGUUAUGUUUAAGUAUUUAAUAAAUAAAUUUAUAGUAUAUUUAUUUGUUUUUGUAUGUAAUAAGUAAGUGUGAUGUUUCUUAAAGUAUUUAAUUGGUAGAUUUAUAUGGUACUUUUUUUGGUAUAUACUAAUUAAUUAUGUAUUUAAUAUUGGAUGAGAGUCACAAGACAUCUAAAUUAAUUGACUUAAUUAUAUUAGUUUAGUAAAGUUUUUAUAGAUGAAUUAGUAAUUGAUGGCUUUGACAAAAUUUUUAUUUUUAGAAUUUCAAAAUUUCUAAUAUGAUAAAUUUAUUCAAUUUUUUUACUCUGAUUUUUUUAGCCUAAUCCGAUAUAUCAGCGAUAUCUUUAUAUGAAGUAUUUUUACCAAUCCGUAUUUUUUAUCCAAUUUUUUCAUCUGAUUUUCAAAAUAAAAACGAUUUAUUUCCGAUAUGUAUAUACUGAUAUGUUUAUGCGUGUAUGUAUAAACUUGCUAUCAGUCAUGUACACACUGAUAUGCGCACACAUAUGCACCCUUACGUAUUGACAGUGCAUAUAUACAUUUCUAUAUACACUGAUAUAAAUGACCUUAUAGACACUUAUUAUCAGCUUAUACAGUUAUUAGUGUAUAUGUACACUGAAAUGUAUAUACGCACACUCAUAUGCAUAUCUAUAAAAGGUUUAUAUAUACACUAAUGUAUAAGACCCAUGUAUGUACUUAUUAUCAGUGAUAUAUACAGUAUUGAGCUCAAUUUGUCUACGUAUUGAUUUAUAACAAUAUAUACCAUUAUGUUCAAUGUACAUAUAUUUAUACUGAUGCAUAUAACCAAACACAACAUUAGCUAUUUGCUUUAUAUACAGUUAUUAGUUUGUAAAAAAUACAUUGAUAUGAUGUGUGAUGUCUGUAUAUAUACGAUGUGAAUAUACUGAUAUGUGUGUAUGUGUAUGUGCAAAGUGCAUAACUGUAUAUAUACAAUGCAUCAAUAUAUACAUUUCUAUAUACAAUGGCAUAGAUGACGAUAUAUACAUUACUUAUCAGUUUAUACUGUUAUUAACGUAUAUGUAUAUUGAUUUAUAUGCUACACACACACUCACACUCACACUCUCCCUUACAUUUACACUCACACUCACACUCACACACUCAUUCACAUACACACACGCAUACACACUCACACACACUCACUCACAUACACACACACUGACACUGACACUGACACUGACACUGACACUGACACUGACACUGACACUGACACUGACACCGACACUGACACUGACACUCACACUCACACUCACACUCACACUCACAGUCACAGUUACACUGACACUCACACUCACACUCACACUGACACUCACACUCACACUACACUCACACUCACUCACACUCACUCACACUCACACUCACAUUCACACUCACACUCACACUCACAUUCACUCACACUCACAUACACUCACACUCACAGAUAUGUAUAUUACACAUAUAUGCAUGUUGUGUAUGGACUGAUGUGUGUAUAUAGACGAUAUGUAUAUACUAAUAUGUUUAUGCCUGUUUUUGCGAUCUUGAUCUUGAAAACUUGAUUUUCUUAAUGGUUCUUUCUUCUUUAAUAUAGUACUUCUUCUUUCAUGCAAAUAAGAAGUGAAUUUUCUUGAGUUUUACUUGUGGUUUGCAAGUUUAUUAUGUAACUUUUCUUAACACACACUCUUUCUUCUUUUAUGCAAAUAUGGAGUGAAUUUUUUGGAGCUUUAAUUGUUGUUUUCAAUUUCAUUAAGUAACUUUUUCUUAACACACACGUACACAUACACAAUCACACUCACACUCACUCUCACACUCACACUAACACUCACACUCACACUCACACUCACACUCACUCACACACACACUCACACGCGCACACACACUCACACUCACACUCACACUCACACUCACACUCACACUCACACUCACACUCACACUCACACUCACACACGCUCACACUCACUCACACACAGUCACAGUCACGGUCACAGUCACUAUCAGAGUCACACACACACUCGCACACUCACACACACAGGCACACACACUCACACACGG
rnacentral:lncRNA from 1 species